rnacentral:misc_RNA from 1 species
AAAAUGCGAUAAGUAAUGUGAAUUGCAGAAUUCAGUGAAUCAUCGAAUCUUUGAACGCACAUUGCGCCCGCCAGUAUUCUGGCGGGCAUGCCUGUUCGAGCGUCAUUUCAACCCUCAAGCCCCCGGGUUUGGUGUUGGGGAUCGGGCUGCGGUUCUGCCGCGGCCCGGCCCCGAAAUCUAGUGGCGGUCUCGCUGCAGCCUCCAUUGCGUAGUAGCUAACACCUCGCAACUGGAACGCGGCGCGGCCAAGCCGUUAAACCCCCAACUUCUGAAUGUUGACCUCGGAUCAGGUAGGAAUACCGCUGAACUUAAGC